UACGGGGGGGGCAAGCGUUGUUCGGAAUUACUGGGCGUAAAGGGUGUGUAGGCGGUUGUUUUAAGUUUGGUGUGAAAUCUCCCGGCUCAACUGGGAGGGUGCGCCGAAUACUGAAUGACUCGAGUGUGGGAGAGGUGAGUGGAAUUCCUGGUGUAGCGGUGAAAUGCGUAGAUAUCAGGAGGAACACCGGUGGUGUAGACGGCUCACUGGACCAUAACUGACGCUGAGACACGAAAGCGUGGGUAGCAAACAGG
rnacentral:rRNA from 1 species